AAAAGUUGGUUUACCGAGAGACUAUAUUUGGCGCCUAUCCAAUCGAUCCCAAAUUCUCUAUCGCUCUUCUUCUCUCCCCUUCUUCCACUCUUCUCAAUUCUCAUUUUCUUCAGGGUUUUCUUCGCAGAUAAAUUGCCGUGUUAGGUCAACGAAUUCCAGAUUAUGAUGGGCUCGCAUAACCUACCAUUCAAAGUUGGGGAAGACAUAGAAUGGAGUUCAUUUAUGAAAGGUUAUCGUGGUGCGUGGUUCCGAUGUAAGAUAAAAGAUAUUGGCCGGAGAAAUGGUCAACUGUCAUGUGCCUUGGAAUAUUAUGACUUUCCAGAUGAAAAAUCAAAAUGGGAAAAAAUAUAUCAAAGCAACCCUGCUGAUAGUAAAAGGACAAGAAAAGAAAAGAUAUUGAUGAUGCGUCCUCCCUUUCCUCCUAUGUAUAAUGAAAGUAAAAGGCCUGAUGUCAGUACUAUAUCGGAAGUGGUAGUUAUUGUCAGUGAUGUCUGGAAGGUGGGAGAUUUAGUUGAUUGGUGGAAGGAUGAUUGUUAUUGGUCUGGAAAAGUAGCAGAAGUAUUAGGGGAUGAAAAAGUUAAGGUUGAGUUGCCACUUCCUCCUGCUGGUGAAGGAGUUGAAGGAGAGACCUAUGAGGCUUCUUGCAAGGACUUGCGUGCAUCCCUGAAUUGGUCUCUAGAAGGCGGUUGGACAGUGCCUACAUCCAAGUUGCAGGAGAAUGAAAAUGGGCGUCCUUGUGCUCGAGUAAUUAAGCCUGAUAGUCAAGGGGACAUUGCAAGCUUGAUGGUCCAAUCUUUGGGUGAUGGAAGAAGGGAUGCCCAAGCUAUUGCUGGUGUCAAGCAACCUUUAACAGGAAAGGACACAACAGCUGCAGAAACAAAUAUGGAGUCUGAUGUGGCAGAUAGUGGGUUUGAGAAGAUGAGUUGCCCAGAUACUGUUUCAAAAUUGCAUGUUAAACAUGCAUCAAAUGAAAUGGAGGCAACUGCAACUAGGGUAGACAUACUUGAUAACAAAAAGCCCUUAAAGAGAAAGAGAACUCAUGUGGCAGAUAGUGGGUUUGGGAAGAUGAGUUGCUCAGAUAGCGUUUCAAAAUUGCAUGUUGAAGAGGCAUCAAAUGAAAUGGAGGCAACUACAACAAGGGUACACGUACUUGAUAACACUAUGCCCUUAAAGAGGAAGAAAACUCAUGAAGACAUAGUGUUAAAUUCAACGAACUCUGAUACAUUAGAAGCUGCACUUUUGGACUUGGAAGAACUUGUAAACCGGGUUAAAUGGAUGAAGGGUAUCUUGGAGAUUGGAUUACCUUUGACUGGUGCGAUGCAACCCCGUUGGAAAUUUCUUGGAGAUCAUUCCUUGUCCACCUCAAAGUGAGGGUUUUCACUCACAGUAAGUCACAUGGUAUAUUACAGUUUGUUAUAACAUGCUGAAACUCUGAAUGGCAUUUAGAUUGCUUCUAAUCCAUGCAGAUCCAUAUCUAACUGCCUAUCUUUAUAGGCACUUAUGUGUUGACCACUGAGCAUGCUGUAGAGCAAUCACAUAUUGACAGCAAGGUAGGAAGGCAAGAGAAAAUUUGACUACUACUCAUCUCUGUUCAUCAUAACAACCUUUGGUUGCAUGUACAGUUUUUUUUGAUGGAUUGUAGAUAUUGAUGAUCUUUGUUGGAGAUUGAUGGACACUUUUAUCAUUCUGGUCAAGAUGUAGAACCCCAGAAGCAGCAAAGCUACUGGAUUGGAUGACGAUCAUAUUUGAUUUUUUUGCACAAAACUGUUACAUGCUUGCCUUAUUCUUGAUGUAUAUUUCAAGUGCUACUGUUCAUAUUUGAAGUUCUAAACUGUCGCCUGAUUUGAAGUGACAAGGGCCAGGUUUACACUACAAGCAAGCUUGUAUACUGAUUCCAUGUCCAUAUUAGUGAAGAGUUGUUCAUCUCAAGUUGCUAAUUUUCUUCCAUGUA